rfam:Rhodobacteraceae bacterium PD-2 genomic scaffold scaffold1, whole genome shotgun sequence.
GGGCACCUUCGGGGGCCUAUACCCCGGGCCGCAUGGCCCCACACACAGGCGGGGCAACCCGCCGGAAGCUUACGGAAGACAGAAA